UUAGGAAUCCCCGCUCUCUCUCCCGUUCCCUUUGGGAUCAUCCUUUAGGAAUCCCCGCUCUCUCUCCCGUUCCCUUUGGGAUCAUCCUUUAGGAAUCCCCGCUCUCUCUCCCGUUCCCUUUGGGAUCAUCCUUUAGGAAUCCCCGCUCUCUCUCCCGUUCCCUUUGGGAUCAUCGCCGCCGCUCCCGAGCGCCGCCGGUGUCGCGGCCACCCCGCCCUGCCCCUUGUCGUGCGCUGGGAAACGCCCUCGGAGCCGCCCUCAGCCCGGCGCGUCCCCAAAUCCGGCUGCGACCGCUGGCGGUGGUUAAUUAACCGUGUUAAUUGCGCGGGGUCCGGCUGUGACCCCAGUGAUGUCCCCGUCCCUCAUCGUGUGCUGCGAAAUGGGUUCAGAGCUCCCUGGUGUGUCCCCAAAUCCAUCUCCAUGCGCUCCUGGUGGUUAAUUAAUCGUGUUAAUGAUUGUGCAGGGUCCGGCUGGGAUCCCAGUGACCCCCGUGUCCCCGUCCCUGUCCCCGUCCCCGUCCCUGUCCCCGUCCCUGUCCCCGUCCCUGUGCUACGAAAUGGGUUCAGAGCUGCUCUCAUCCCUGGUGUGUCCCCAAAUCCAUCUCCCGGCGCUCCUGGUGGUUAAUUAAUCGUGUUAAUGAUUGUGCAGGGUCCGGCUGUGACCUCCCUGUCUCCCCCCCGGCUGUGACCUCCCUGUCUAGCCACUGCCACCUCUCUCCAUGUUUUAGCUGGAAUCGUGGAAUGUGUUCAAUUCCCAGUCCAUCGUUGCUGUUUUUUAAUUAACUGUAAUUAUGUCUCCGCUGUCCCAGGGCUGUGGGAGCCCAACCCUCAGCCCGUCCCCUCCUCCAGCUGCUUGGACAAAAAUAAAUCUGGAUUCCUGCGGAAGCGCCAAGCCUUUGGGUUAACAUCGGGUUAAUAUUUAACCA
rnacentral:lncRNA from 12 species